GGGUGGGAUCUGAUUGGGGUGGGAAGGCGGUAUCCCUACUCUUUUGCCAUUAUCACUGCUAAAAUUCUGUGCAAAGUGAGCAAAAUGCCUGGCACGCAUUUGGGUCUGGUUCAAUUGAGGUAUAUCGAGUUGGUUCAUUGAUGAAAAAGGUUGUUUAGACAUUAAAGAAGAUGAUUGCGUAGUCUCAAAAGAAGAUUGAAGCCUUUGCAUCAUU
rnacentral:misc_RNA from 1 species